ACUGUUUCUCGUGGAUUAGUAUACGUCAUCGACUGGUUUCUGUAUACGAAAGAUAAAAAGGAAAAGUAGCAAGGCGGUAUUUGGAUUCUGGUUUUAAUGGUCAACAAAAAAAACAAUAUUUAACCCAUUUGAAGGAAAGCAUCCAAACGCAACCUUGGACGCCUCUGGUUCUGUGUUGUUCAAAUGGAGGAAAUAGAAGGGGACCCAUAUCCUACAGUAAAAUUCACGCCUAGUGAAAGCAAUCCAAGAAAAGUCAAAAAGAGAACUCAUUGUGCCUCAUUACUGGUGGUGGGGCAGAUUUGAUUGUGUUGGG
rnacentral:misc_RNA from 1 species